ensembl:lncRNA
CAGAGAAGUUAGGCUGGUAAAAUUAGUGGGUUGGAAAAGAUAGUCAGAUAGAAACGAAAGGUGCUCACCAGUGUUGUAGGCUCACAAAAACUCCUCAGGGAGUGAUCUCCAGGAAGAGAUCCUUCCUCAGUGGCAUCUUCCAUCGUGAGCCUGAAUCUUCAAAUACGGGUAAGCAUUCCUUCUCUGUUUGUUUCUUUCCAUUUCUCCACGUUAUUCUUUCCAACUGUAACAUCUGGCCAGAGAGGUCAUGGAGUCUCCUACUCCAGAGAUGCUCAAAACCUGUCUGGUGUCCUGUGCAACCUACUUAGGGAACCUGUAGGGAAACUACAUCAGCAGCAGGUUGGACUAAAGGAUCUCCUGAGGUCCCUUCCAACCCCUACUGUUCUGUGACUCUGAAAACUGGGGGGGGUUGGGCAGGAGGCAGCCGCUGCUUGGGGACAGGUUGGGCAUCAGUCAGCAAGCAAAUUGCUUUGUGUUUCAUUUGUUUUGUGUAUAUAUAAUAAUUAUUAUCAUUACUGUUACCUCUCUCUUCCUUUUCUGUCCUAGUAGCGGUUUUAUCUAAACCUAUGAUUUGUACUACCUUCCCUUCCCCCCCUUCAAUUCUCUCCCUCAUCCGCUGAAAGACGAGAAUGGGAGGGAAUGAGCAAAGGGCUAUGUGGUGUUCAGCUGCUGCUGGGUUAAACUACAACACUACCGCUUACUUAUUUCCACAUUUCUGCCAGUGAGGGUGAAACAAGGGGACGGGAGGGCUGCUCACUUGGUGGCUUAUUCACUGCCUGCUUCCAUGCUGCAGUGACAUCCUAAACAGUACGAAAGCUUUAGCAGGCUUUUUGGAAGUUGCAAGAGACCUCACAACACCCCCGUGCAACUAAGAAAAGGAUACUGGCUCAUGCCACCCACCACUGAAACAGACACCUCUGCACUGGAACGAAGCAGCUGUAUGAUACCAUGCAGCAAUACUUCACAGCAUUUUAGGGUAGACAGCAAUUAACCUUUGGCUGAAUCUCUUUUGCCCCAAGCCACAAAAAAGUGUUUGUUCUGUUUUCUUCUCUGCCCCACCUCCACAGUCUCACAGCUCUGGUGUUCUCAUUAGCUGGCUGCCCAGAUUGUGUUCCGGAUCCUGGUACUGGGAAUAACAGUCCUCAAAUGAAUGGGCUGUUUAUUCAGAUACUAGUUUUGGUUCUCUGUGACUGACCCAGAGUAGAGGCAGCCGAUUCCGAUGAAGUUAAAGGGAAGCUGCACAGCACUGUGCAUGUUUUCUAAGAGUCGAAACACUGAAGCCAAGAUCCAAGUCUUCAAGUUGAAGGAGUUAGGGCAACACCUUCUCCUCACAAGCCUGAAAUGAGCCACUACUUCUGUUCAAAGAAUGCAUCUGUUCAUGACAAUGAAAACUGAGCAAUUAAAACUCCCACAAAAGCCUCAUCCCCAGGCCCUCACCCAGAGCACAGUUUCCCAGGAUUCAGGUCUGUCAGGUACAACUUGAAAGCCCAGAAAUUCCAGAGCCAGAUGUCCCUUAGGUUUUGAAGUUCGAAUGAGCAUCUUGUGCAGCAAAGGCAAAGGUCGAGUGCCUUCGAGAAAGUGAGGAAGCAGGGAAGCAAUAAGUCCAAAUAGGUCUGACCCACUAGGUGGGCUUCCUUCCUGUUCAGCCUAGUAUCUCCAGCUUCACCUGGCCCACAGCCAGGGGUAAUCAUGAGCUCAUCUCAUGUUAAGACUGCCACCUAAGACAGGCCUGGCAAGUCCUGCCAUGAAAGACCAGCACCUCCAUCACUGUAGCUCACUCUGGUCAACUGAGCUCACAGACAAUCCCCAUGCUGCACCACAGCAGCCAUCUACAUGCCCAGUCCUUCCCACAGCUCUACAUUCCUGCACAGACAGGGACUGUGUUGUCCUAAAAGCAGCACAUAAAGCUCCAUGGUUUUCACCAAGUAAUGACUUGCACGCCAUGAAAUCCAACUGGUUACCAGUCAGCAUCGUGGAGUGGCAUUAAGUGGCCUUAAAGGGUCACUUCACACAAAGAAAAGAUGAUGUAAGUACUACUUCAAGUGAUGCGUUAAUGAGAAUGCACUUGGACACUCUCACUUUGGUGCAGGCCGCUCUUUGUGUUGGGCCUCACAGGAGCAAUGCAGGCAAGAAGUCACAAGUCCAUGGGACCGGAUGGGCUCCACCCUUGGGUGCUGAGGGAGCUGGUAGGGGUGAUUGCCAAGCUGCUCUCUGCCAUCUACCAGCACUCCCAGUUAUCUGAAGAUAUCCCAGAGGAUUGGAGGCUUGCCGACAUGACUCCCAUCUACAAGAAGGGCAGUAAGGAGGAUCUGGGGAACUACAGGCUGUCAGCCUGACCUCGGAACCAGGGAAGGUUAUGGAGCAAAUCAGCUUGGGUGAGAUCACAUGGCACAUGCGGGGAAACUGGCUGCCCAUGGCCUGGACAAGUAUACCCUUCUUUGGGUAAGGAACUGGCUAGAGGGCCAUGCCCAGCAGGUAGUGGUUAAUGGAGUUAAAUCCAGCUGGCAACAUGUUACAAGUGGUGUCCCCCAGGGGUCGGUACUGGGGCCCAUCUUGUUUAAUAUCUUUAUUGAUGACCUAGAUGAAGGGAUUGAGUGUACCCUCAGUAAGCUUGCAGAUAACACCAAAUUGGGAGGUAGUGUAGAUCUGCCUGAGGGUAGCGAGGCCCUUCAGAGGGAUCUAGAUAAGCUGGAUUGCUAGGCUGAGGUGAACAGAAUGAGGUUCAACAAGGCCAAGUGCUGGGUCCUGCACUUUGGCCAGCAUAACCCCAUGCAGCGCUACAGGCUUGGGGCUGAGUGGCUGGAUGACUGUGAAGAGGAAAGGGAGUGGAGGUGUUGGUUGAUGCUCAGCUGAACAUGAGCUGAUAGUGUGCCCAGGUGGCCAAGAGGACCCGGGCCAUCCUGGCCUGCAUUAGAAACAGUGUGGCCAGCAGAAGCAGGAAGCUAAUCAUCCCCCUGUACUCAGUGCUAGUGAGGCUGCACCACAAGUAUUCUGUUCGGUUUUGGGCCCCUCGCUACAAGAAAGAGAUUGAGGCCCUGGAACAUGUCCAGAGAAGGGCAACAAAGCUGGUGAGGGGUCUGGAGCACAGGUCUUAUGAGGAGCAGCUGAAGGAGCUGGGAUUGUUUACUCUGAAGAGAAGAGGAGGCUCAAAGGAGACCUCAUUGCACUCUACAACUUCCUGAAGGGAGGCUGUAAUGAGGAGGGGUUUGGCUUCUUCUCCCAGGCAAUAAACAGGACCUGAGGAAAUGGCCAGAAGUUGUACCAGAGAAGGUUUAAAUUAGACAUAAGGUAUAACUUUUUCUCUCAGAGUGGUCAGGCAUUGGAAUGGCCUGCCAAGGGAGGUGGUGGAGUUGCCAUCCCUGGCAGCGUUCAAGAGGCAUCUGGAUGAAGAGCUACGAGAUACGGUUUAGUGGCUUGCGGUAGCAAUGGUAAUGGGAAGAUGGUUGGACUGGAUGAUCUUGUAGGUCCUUUCCAACCCUGUGAUUCUAUGAAGAGCCCAGGCAGGACAGUGUGCUGCUGGGGGGCUUGUGGGAGGAGGCACCAGAAUGCAUUCCAGGAGGCUGAGCACCCAGGAUCAUGUUCACAGUUUAGGAAACAGUUUCACUACAGCCCCCACAAACUGACCUUGGCAGAACACAGUUUGCACAUAACAGCCAUGUUUCUGCUGUGAGUAAUGCCGAACCCUCAGUUAACACCGCGUUGUUGGUGGAACAAACAUCUCGUUAUCAAGUGCAUAAGGCAUGGGAGGGCAGAGGGGAUGAAUCAAACCAUGUUAGUAUUAUGAUAUUGAUGAAAAUGUAUGAAGUUCAGAGUGACAUGACCCUUCUGCCCAUGGAAUUCCAUCAUUUCGUGCAUCUUCUAUUUCUGCCACCUUUCCCAAUAAGCCAGAAGAAAAGCUCACAUUUCUCAGGCUGAAAUAAUGCACACAGGACAGUUUGGUAGGAAGCAUCUUCAUCAGAGCAAUCUGUACAAACCCCAUGGUUGCCCACAGUUCAGAUAACGGGGAAAGGGGAGGCAGCACUACACUCAGAGACAGUAUGUGUUGCUUUACACUAUAUCACUUCCUACUUUGCCAAACCUAUUGCAUACACUCAGAGCUAACUCCACUGGGCUCCACAGCAGAGGCAGGAGACCCACUGAGAGCAGAGCAGGCAUCUAUAACCAGCUACUACCCGCAGGGAAAGGAAUAGCACACCCGGACAACCAACAUGGGAAACAUUGCUCACACCCAUCCUAACAGGCAGCUCAGGGAAAAAUUAGAGAGCUAUGUUUAAUGAUCUGUAGCUAAAUAAAUGCCAUUUGUUUAUUAUUCAAUCUCACCUCCUAACUCAACCAGUUACAGACUACAGCACAUGGGGAGGAAAAGUUAAGAGUCAUCACCAUGUCCUGGGAAUGCACCAGGAUUACAAAUUUCCACCCCUUGGGAAGGCAGCAGCUUUAGCAAGGAACCUGAGCUGACCACAUUAAAAUCAGGUCGGGUGCCUCACCUCCAUCACGGCCAUGCUGUAGCCAGCUCAGAUGCUCCAGACACAGGGUUUCAGGAAGAACUAAGAUUUGGCCACGUAAGCCAUGACUUGGUGGGUGGAGGCAGAGAAGUACCUCCAGGCUGAUAAGGAGCUGAAGUUCAGUUGAGGUGCCUGCUUUGCUAAUAAAUGCCUAUUUUGAGGAUAUGUAUUAUCUUUGUCUGGUUUAUAACUGCUUUUUAAAAGCCUGAAUCUAGAGCCAGUGACAAGAUUGCUAUGCCACAGCAAGAGAUUAACAUUCAAGUCACAGCACAUCUUGGGCCAUAGAACAUGUUGGGCUGUUCGCUGCACACAGAAGGAGAAACAACGCACUAAGCAGAAUGGUAUCCAAAUUCAUACAGCUCCCGGCUUCGCACAUUCUCACAGAAUCAGAACAUCACAUGGAUUAAAGGGGAAUGAAUACAUUCACCAUAUCUUUGCCUGCAUUAAUGCCAUGCUUAUUAGUACUAAUGGUAUUCAUAGGCAACCCUUGUCUCCUAUCUUUUCCAUAGGGUAGUACUCUGAGCUGUAUUAUGAUUUAUUCCAUAGGCAAAUGCUUCCAUAGGAGUAGUGCAAACUUGUCCCUUUGAAAACCCACUGAGAGGGGCAGUUCCAGAGACAGGCAUGCAGCAUUUCUGCUGUUUGAAGAGGAGGGAAGCAAAGCAAGAAGACAUGCAUUCAGUCCAAUGCUAUUUGACAAGGCUUGAAACAAGAGAAUAGGUAUAAACUCAUUAACUCAGAACUUUCAUAUAAGGCACUUUGACGGGUGCCCGGAAGACCUCCCAAACGCCCCUUCCUUCUUGCCUGCCCCAAGAGGGGCAGCUGCAGGCACAAGGCAGGAGUGCGGAAAGAAACUCUUAGCCCUCCAGACAGUACCGUCUCCGGAGCUGAUGUUAUGGCCAAACAGAGCAGCCCAUAUAGCAGCCUCUUCCCGUCUGUCAUCGUUCCUGCUUGAUUGUGCUGGGCUUAGCUCAGCCCGCAGCACGCUCCUUUCGCAGCACAUGGCAGCAGGCAGGCUGGCACGCUGCCCACCCCCAGCACCACACAGGCAGGAUGGCGCCGCCCGUACUUAAACCAAUAGUUACUGUUUUACAUCAUCGAGGGCCCACAGAUUAUGUUCUAAAUCCAUGAAGUAACAGCGGAUCAGCAUGCAGUUUGCUAAUGCCACGCUAAGAAAUAAUGCAUGGGGGGGAAGGGAUUAGUGCACAGCACAUAGGCCUGUAUUUGGCAUUAGCUGUAGAACAGCGUAUAGCAUGCAGCAGCCUGCAUGUCCCAGGCUCCACAGGGCAGCCAACAGCACUCCAACAAGUCCACAUGGAGAAAGGCUGCACAAGCACGAUGCUGUUGUGCUGUUCCUGCUCUGCCCUCUCCAAAGUCCUCAAAGAAAAUUUUCUUAAGGAAGAACCACUUGGAUGCUGCCUACCAGUAGGGACAUUCCAGCAGAGAGAAUGCAAGUUCAAAACCCAGGAAACAAGCCUGCUUCAUGUGCAUGAUGAAACACAAUGGCAGAUGGUGAAGGCUCCAGGGAGACCUCACUGUGGCCUUCCAGUGCUUGAUGGGAGCAUAUAAAAAGGAGAGGGAACUGCUGUUUAUGAGGGCAGACAGUGAUAGGACAAAGGGGAAUGAUUUUAAACUGAGACAGGGGAGGUUUAGGUUAGAUAUUAGGAGGAAGUUUUUCCACAUAGAGGGUGGUACCACACUGGAACAGGUUGCCCAAGGAGGCUGUGGAUGCGCCAUCCCUGGAGGCAUUCAAGGCCAGGCUGGAUGUGGCUCUGGGCAGCCUGGUGUGGUGGUUGGUGACCGUGCACAUAGCAGGGGGGUUGAAACUAGAUGGUCAUUGUGGUCCUUUUCAAGCCAGGCCAUUCUAUGAUUCUAUGGUGAAUGCUACCCUCAGGUUAAUGUGUACCAUUGACGCUUCUUGUAGACUCAUGUUCAUGCCUACUGAGUGCCUAUAGGUUUGUUUUCUGACACUGCUUAUGGCCCAAGCCAAUAUCAUGGCACUGAAGUGAUAAAGACAGUAAAAAAAUUCUAAUAAUCCUAAUAAAUUUGGUGUUUGUUAAUAGGAGACAGUUGCCACAAGAUAUCUUGCAUCAUCUUCCCAGUUACAUUUGCUUGUUCAGUGAUCGGCACCGCUCCAAAAUUAAUUUCACAGAAAUAGAGAGAAGUCCCACUUGGUGGCCCCAGUGUCACUGAGGAGGGAGGCAGUGAGGAACAUUUCCCAAACAGAGAUUUGAUAACAGAAGCCUGUCUGGGACAGCGAGAUCUGCUGACCUCAAGGUCAAAUUCAAUCCUAAGCACUCCAAUUAAAUAAGCCACUGUGGAUGUAUGCAACAGCUCCUCAGCAGUUACUUCAAUGUAUGACCAGCAGCAGCGAGACACGGCCAUGAACACCAAGAUCAAGUGGGAGAGCAGACUGCUCCCCCGGCAGCAGACACCGACAACAAAACAGGUUUUCAUUGCAAUGCUAAAACUCACAGAACUCACUUCAACCCAAGCGCUGUGGGGCUGCAGCCCUCUCUGGCUCUGCAAGAGCUUCCCCACACCUUUGGGACUUCUCCCCUUUAGCAAGGACUGACCGCUUGAGUCACCCAUCCAUGCCUUUGUUGCUUAUUUACAGCGCAGCAACAAAACAUUUUUGAAGACACCUUUAUCACAGUUAGCAUCACCACCCCUCGCACUGCCAUUGUUAGCUUCUUUGCACUUUGCUAAUGGCAUUCUUGUAUUACUUCUCCUUAAGUGUUUCCAAGCGUAGCUGGACACAAAGUGCAUCUAAAUCAGUUGUGUGCUGGAGGUACACUCCUGCCCUACUAUCACAACAUUUUCCUCUAAAAUUUGGUAGGGAGAUAGGCGCUGCUUUGCAGCAUGAUCCAUUUCAACUGUGUUCCAGUGAGGCGGGUAAUCCUACACUACUCAGUUUUAUAAGAAUCCAGACAAUCUGAAUUAAUAGCAUUAGCACAGCACUUGCCAUAAACAUGGAACAGUUGCUUUAUUGCACUUGUCAAAUGCAUUCCUCUCUUUGGUCACAGCUAUGGUCAAACCAAGAAUUUAACAAAAAAUUAACAAGUAAUUCGCAAUAAAAAGGAAUUCAGAAAGUCACAAAAAUAGGGAGCUACGGAAAGCAUCAAAUUCCUGUGCUUUCCAACCAGUUUUCACUCUUACUUCAGCAUGUUUCUGACCAGCUCCAUCCCCUGCCCAACACCACUCCACACUUUUGUUUGGAGGACACUACUUAAAGGGAGCUUAUAAAGAGGAGGGAGAUAAGACAAGAGGGAGUGUCUUUAAACUAAAAGAGGGGAGGAAUUAGGUGAGAAGUCAGACAGAAACUCUGCUCAGAGAGCUGUGAGGCCCCAGCAUAGGCUACCCAGAGAAGCUGUGGAUGCCAUAUCCCUGGAGAUGCUCAAGGCCAGGCUGGAUAGGGCCCUGUGCAGCCUAAGCUAGUAGGGGGCAGCCCUGCCCACUGCAAGGUUGGGGAUGAGCGGGCUGUAAGGUCCCUUCCAGCUCAAGCCAUUCAUCAUUUUCACAGCACUCAAACUGAGCUAAAAGCAAACUCAUGUCUGCUAUAGUAGAGGCAAACAGCUUGACAGAUCCAUUGUAAAACAAACACCUGACCAUUUUGAUGUGGCACAGCAGCGGCAGAAAACACGACUCUAUCUGCUUUUCCUGCAGUGACCUCUGAACCUCAGCAGCACCAGCUGUGCUCGACUCAGUGUGCCUCAGUCCCAGGCAGGCACACAAGUGCCACUGGUGGAAGCAGCCCAGUCAGGGAACCCGCUGUCCCCUCCCCAGCAGGUGCUCAGUGCUGUCAUGUUCUCAGUACGUGUCAGAGCUCACUGUUAUCAGUUAUUUCUAAGUGCAACGCUGACCCACAAGAGCCCCCAGUGGGUUGGUUUUAGCAUCACAAUUGCUCCCUGCACAGGCUUACUCCCAGCAGUGUAACAGGAAGGCUUUGAAAACAAGGUGCUGGGAUCAGAGCAGAAGAUACAUGUUCUUGAACAGAAGAGAAAGUACCCUAUAAAAGCUAGUCAACAUAAAUACAUGUUUCUGUCAAAUCUUCAUACAAGAAUAAUCCUCAACUAGUCCCUGGCAGAGCACAGCCAAACCUCACGGGCUCAUUACAGUGCAACUGUCUAACACUCGGCACCCAGUGCUCAUCAGUCACAGCUCUGUCAGUAGCCCCACAGCCCGGAGGUCCACCAGGGGUCCCGAGCACCACCGGUUACUUGAGAGCAUCAGGGCACCCCAGCUACAAGCACUGGGCCCUGAUCCAAGAAAGCACUUAAGCACAUGCUUAACUUUAAGCACGUGAAUGCCCCCAACCACAUAAAAGGCUCACUUAGUGAAAAUUAAGCAUCUGCAGAAAUACUUUAUCAGCUUCUCCAUUGAGCAUCUUACAGGAUUACACCCUAUCAAGUGACUCUCAGAGGGGGAACUCCCCCUGAACCAGAGCAGCACACAGGUGGGAUCACCAGGGGCUGGGUCAGACUCCUAACACCUAGAAGCACACGCAGACGAGCCGAGGAGGGGCGAGAGCAGCCCAGAACUCACCUCAAGGUAUCCACCAUGUCCACAUUUGCCUAUUCCACAUAAAAAGGAAUGUGACCUAGCACAAGCUGUUUCCCUCCCACAGGUGCCUGGUAGGGACAGACAUCAAGAGCUCUUUCUUCCACCUACUUAACAGGUCUUGAAUUUGUGUGGCCUCUCAGUGGCAGCAAGCUGCUUGUUCCCCACAUGGCCCUGCUUUAAAGCAGGACAUGUUUGUGUAAGGCACUGAUGGUGAGCACAGGCCCGGCACAGUAGGGCACCAGGGAGCUGUCAGGGAGGAAUGCCCGGCCCUGAUUGACGAGCACACUGUAGUUACUCAGGUGGAGCCCAGGGCCCAGCAGCCAGCACUGCUGCACAGAUCAGAUGUGCUCUGAGUUCACAGAUCAGCCUGAUGCGCAGCUCAGCCCCACCAGGCUGUGGCAGGGGAACUUGCCCUCUAUUUUUUAAGUGAAAAGCAGUUUGAAAGAGAGAAGUCCCCUUCCUCCUUAAACAUGAGGGACCUAGAUCCUAUACCAUCCUUAUAGACAUUGUUCUACAGCUUGGUAACAGCACAUGUGCAGAUUCAGAGCCAGGCAUGGUUGUGCUCAACCACAAGCUUGACUUGUUUCAUCAUUCUUUAAGCCCCAUUCACACAGUGCUUCUAGAUACUCUGUCCAACUACUUAGAAAGAUCCCUCCGCUUUCUCCUACGUUAUUUAUAACAAGUACAUGAAAAAGCAAUGCUCCUUAGAGCCCUUUUCAAGGUGAAAGCUGCAGUCACAGCCCACUCACUCACCUGCAGCCCCCAACAAAACAUGAGCUUUGGGGCACCACCCAGCAGCCAGCCCCAUUCCCAGCCUUGGGCCUGACCCUCCUGUGUAGGCACUCUUCAUUGAGAGCUGAAGAUGUGGAGAAGAGUUCCCCUCAUUUCCUUCAUAGUGUGAAGAGUUUUGCAGCUUGUUCACAGCUGAAGCUUGCACCUUCAAUUAGGGAGAACUUGACACCACACUUCAUCUAGGAGCCCAGGCCAAAUUAACAUGCCUGCUACAAAACCACUGAAGAGUACACUGUGUGGAGGAGCAGAAAACUUGUUUUCCUUUCUCAUACUAAAGCUCCUGAAUUAAUUUAAAUGAAGCCAUCUAAGAAACAUGUGUCUAC